ACAGGGCUGGAGGAGCAAUUGGAGGAGCCCAGCAGGCUGGACACAUGUGGAGAGUUGAUAUGGAAACUGAGCCCUCACACAUGGACUGAAUUCUGACAAGCAGAGGAUAAAGGCAGAACAACAUGACUGAAGGGAAGAUGCUUUUGUGAUAUAUCCCAGCAUGCUGAUGACCCCAAGGAGGACCACUGGAUACCUAGCAAGGAGCUGGCUGCAGCAUACCAUGAAUCCUCACAGCAACUUAAUGAGGAAAAAGAAGAACUGAUUGAAGAGUGGCAACCAGAACCUCUUGUUCCUCCUGUCCCAAAAGACCAUCCUGCUCUCAACUACAACAUCGUUUCAGGUUCCUCUGGCAGCCCUCCUCAAGGACCUCUGUGAGACAAAGUCAGAAAUGACUUCACUGGAGACCAAGAGAGCCCACAGAGCUCUUCCUGCUGCUUCUUCUACCCUUGUACUCACUCGGCUCUCUAAAUUUGUCUCAGCUCCAGACACGUGGGAAGAUUACCUUUCUCUGAUGUCUUGGGAUUGAACUGAGCUAUGUGGCUAGUUACAGGCCAAUAGGCUGUUAGCAGAUGUGACAUCUAACACAACUAGGCUGCAGUUUGAAAUAAAUACCAGUGCACAGCCUCCAGAAUUCCUCCCCUGCUAAGGUGACUGAGAAGACCUCAGCUGAGAUGGUGGGAAAAAAAAAUAUUCAAGCAGCUUGGAUAACGAAGUUCCUAAAUGGAAGAACAUUGUCCCAGAGAGUCACUUGAACCCAGAAUAGAUUUACGUGAUCAGACAAUAAACCUCUAUGACACCCUGAGUUUAUUUUGUUUUUUGAUUUUGUUACUGCAGCAUAACUCAACAUACCCUGACUGGUAUAGUCAUGGAGAUUAUCAUCAGGAUCUCCUAUGCUCCUGCAUAUGACACAGCCAGAGUUCUGCAGACAUUUAACUUUGGGCAUCUAAAUAUCAUAAAUGC
rnacentral:lncRNA from 1 species